GAUUUCCCAUUCGAUAGUCACCAAAAUAAGAGAAUAUUAUCAAAAGCAACAAAAUCCCGUACUUUUCUGCCCACUCUGCGUCGUCCUUUUCACAGUUGAUGAGUCAUGGGAGUGUCAGACAGCCAGCAUCUUUAGAAUAUAACGUGAAGUAGAACGCAUCUCAAGGAGAGAGAACUGGGAAGGGAAGUGGGCUGGUCCUUGCGUCGUCGCUGAGAUUGAAGCAAAAAAAUGGGGUGAAAUGGAAGAUAAGCUGCUGCUAAAGGGAAUCCCAUUUGGUAGCCGCUUGUUGGGUUGCUGAUCAGUGCCUGCCAUUUAGUUUACUUGUUAAUUCUGAUUUUGAACUUUAGAAGCUGUUGAUACAAGGCUAUGCUCUCAGAUUUUGGAGCUAGGUCCAAUUGGGAAGGUAA